AUCCUGCCACGGGAGACCAAACACAGAGGUAGAGGGAGAAAAGGGGGCGGAGUUGCGAGGGUGAGCCCGAGGCGAGGGGAGGGGCUCAGCCCUGCAGCGCGGGAGCCACGCCCUGAGGGGACAGAGCUGUGGCCCUGGGGACGCCAAGGCCGCAACUUCUGCAACCAACCUGAGGUAUAUACUGGGAAUACCAACUGUUGCCUUCAGGUCACUACCAAGUUGGGGAGUGGGAGAUGGUACCAGUUCCAGGUAAGAGGAAAUAAACACAUGGCCGCCUCUCUCCCUUACCGAGUAUACAACCUAGACAGUACACAGUGCAGCUACCUGAAGUCUCCGAACAGCCAUGAACUUGAGAAGACAGAAGCCACCAGCAGUGUGAGGGAGGUGUAGAAAUCAAAAUAUUUCACUGUUCAGUGGUUUGCUGAACACAAGACACUCCACCCCAUGUCAUGAGACAUGAAAGAACAGGGGCUGGGGCCCUUGGUACCUUCACAGGUCUCCCUGAGGAGCUCGUCUCUGGCUGACAAAGAUGGGGGGCAGGUUUUCCACACGUCUCAUCUGGUCUCCUUGUCUCUGAGGAGGGCGCUGCCGUCAAGGAUGGAUUGGCCACAGUUCAGCCCAGGCCAGGGUGGCUGUCACAGCUGGGAGAAUUCAUGGCGCUCUCGGUGGUUCCCAGACCUGCACGGCUCUCUUAGCAGAGAAAGUGACUAAGGGGAAGAGAUUUGCUUUGAGUCCAAACUAAGUGUGGGUUAAGACAGACCACUCUUUCUGAGGAAGGGGAAGCCAGAGGAACAAACCCUAGCUUUCGGGUUGAGGGGGGAUGCGGUUCUGUGGGCCUGUAGGGGAGGACACGCGGAACGCCCCUAUGGGCAUGGGCAGGGGGCCACAGGAACUUCUCUCAGAGGCUCAAAUCCAGGGGCUUGCUCGGCUCUUCAUGGGUGAGGGGCGUGGUCUCAGGACUCCAAUUGGUAAACAGCAAUGGAGAAAGAUCUAGCUCAGGGGCUGUGUAUUUAUAAGCUGCGAAUUACUGAAUAAUUAAAUACAUAACACAUAGAACCGGGGAGUAGAAGUGCUAACAGCCUCCCUUAUGUUAAUUGUAUGUGUCACUGAGCACAUCGGCAUCAACUGCUUCAUAUUCGUGAUAAUAGUCAGUGUGUAGGGUUCUAGAACCUCUAGACUGGCACAUUCAGAACCUUAGAGGCCAUCCAGCUUGGUCUCCCAUAUCUGAUAUUAGAAUUCUCAUGGCUACUAUUCAUGCCAGGGAGCACUGAUAUUAUCUUGAGUAGUAACGAGCACGCAACAAUGGGUAGAAUUCAUCUGGGGACUGGUGCCCAUCCCCCUCCGGGCAGCCUGGCAGACAGGAUCCAUUUCUUCCUGGUGAACGGUGCAUGAUCCCACAUUUCCCAAAUACCUCUUGUCAGAAUGGAAUGCCUAAGGGCACCUGGGUGGCUCAGUCCAUUGAGUGUCUAACUUUGGCUCAGUCAUGAUCUUGCGGUUAGUAAGUUCAAGCCCCACAUCGGGGUCGCUGCUGUCAGCCUAUCAGCACAGAGCUGGCAUCAGAUCCUCUGCGCCUCCCCUGUUUACACUCUACCAAAAAUAAAUAAAUAUUAAAAAAAAAAAACUUAAAAAAAAAAAAAGAAUGGAAUGCCCAAACUUGGGUGAGGCACUGGGUCAGAACAUACAUAAGCUUAGGUCCCUGCUGCCUGUCUCCCUCCAUCUCCUUUUCAGGGCAGAUGGCACCCACUCUUCCCCAGAACAGUCCUGGCAGGCGAAUGAUAAGGUGGGGGCCAGGGAACCUGGGUGAGAGGGGGUUCCCCCCCGACUCCAUCCUGGGUGAUCUCAGACCUGCCUCAUUGGUGCCCCAUGUCCGGCCCAGCUAUAUUUGGCAAGCUCAACUCUGAAACUAGAGUGACCCCAGUCCCUUCCCCUCACAGGGGCCAGUUUCUCACCUCUUUUAAUCAAGUCUUCCAUUUCUCCAGGCAACCCACACAAAAGGCCUGGGCCAGGUGGUGGAGAUACUCUGGCUCCUACACAGAGGUUCUAUUUUCUGUUCUGCCUUCUUCCAGGCUGGGUAAUUAUGGAUCUGUCCUCAGAGGCAUUCUGUUUCUUAGCAUUGGCUGCUCAAAAGCCCGUGUACGUGAGGCUGGUCUCACCACUUCUAUCUAGUGUUACACUGCAGAGUACUAUAUCACAGACACGCGGCUGUCUGUGCCCAGUGUGAAUACGCUCAAGGGCACAUUCUAACAUGUGGACCGUGUGUGUGUGUAUAUUGGUAUAUGACCAGAGUGCUCAUCAACCAAUAGGUAUUAUCAAGUGCCCACUAUGUGCCAGGCCAAGGUGGUCUAGGUUCGAGGGCACAUCGUCAUGAACUGGCGGGGCAAGAUGGCGGCCCCCAUGCUUUACACCUUAGUGGCAGCAAUAGUAAACUCUGAAGUCGGGUCAUUUCAGGUGGCGAGCAAUGCUGAAGGAAAUAAGCAAAUCGAUGCUAGUGAAUGAAAGUCGCAGUGAGCUAGCUAUGGGUGGCUGCUUCUGAUGAGGUCAUCAAGCUAACUUCUUAUGGGGGGACAUGAAGGUGUGGAGGCCAAGCAUUCCAGGCAGAGGGAACAGCAGAGGCAGAAGCCCUAGAAAGGAACCAGUGUGGUGAUUGUAGCUGGAAAGCAGUAGCAGGGAGGGGGAGGGGGGGCAGUGGAUGGUGGGACCUGAGAUCGGAGAUGUUAGCAGGGGCCAGGUCCUAAAGGGUUCAAGGAGUCAAACCUUGGACUCUUCAGUCAAAUUUCCCAGGUCCAGUUUUCUACUAUGCCACCUACUAGUUGUGUGACCUUGAGGCAAGUUAUUUAACCUCUCUGGGUCCCUGGAUGGUGCUGGUGGGGGUAAUGCUAGUACCUCCUUCAGAGAGUUGUGAACCAAUGAGUUACCAGAAGUAAAGGGCUUAGAACACCACCUGCCUCAUGGUGCAUAGCUGUUCUUUUUAUUAAGUGUUUGCUAUUAUGAGAAGCCUUAUCGUUAUUACAAAAAAGGAACUAAGGUUUUAAGAGAUAUACGUUUGUCUGCUGGGACAAGUUCUGCUCUGGAAAUUAGGGGAUACCUGAGCCUUAGUCCUUGUUCCAUCUUCAAGUCCCUGGGUGUCCAGAUCCUCUAAGUGGGUUCCAAAGCAAUCCUGUGGGACCCCAGCUUAAGCAGUUGGCAUGGCAAUAACCUCUGAGGGGUGAGGUCUUAAUGAGACCAGAAAGGGAGCUCAAAUCUCAUCAAGAGAGCAUCAGAGGUGACCUAAAGCUCAAAGAACACAUCUGCCACCUGAAGCAGGGAAGGGAGGCAAAGCAAAGAAAUGAGAGGGGCAGGCACAGGGCUGGAGGGGAUUGGGAAGCAAGGCCAGCCUCCUAGAAGCCAUCUUUAUUGGUCCCGGCCUCACCAUGCACCAUGGGGAUGGCUGGGAUGAAGCCCCAAGGUCAGAUGCACACUGGGUUUUUCAUCUUUCGAAUGAAGGAGUUGAUUGAGUUGAUUAAUAAGCUCUUUUAAGCCACUCCUCUCAAGAUACCCAUGGAAGGCCGCACCGUUGAGGGGCUAGGAGGGUAAAAGGAGAGGAUUCUUUGAGAAUAAAGAGUCCUGCCUGGGUCUGUGGUUGUCUUGGGAUACAAGGUUUGGUUUCCUUUCUGCUAGCUGGAGGUGGAGAAGGAACUAGUGUUUAUAGUCCUAGCUAAGGGUCCUGCUCUGUGAUCAGACCUCUUAUGUGUGUAGCCAGCCAGCUCUGGGGAGGGCUUCCAUCAGAAAUGCCCACCCUUCUCCCCAACUGGAUGAAAAGAGGCACUGACAAGUUCUGCACAUUUACAAACACACAUCCACGCCCCUACCAUGCAUGGGUUUCUGAAUAUUUCCAGGUAAAUCAGAUUUUUGUAAAUCAAAUUUUGUGUUCAAUGCACUUUGGCUGCUUGCUGUUUAAAGAAACCCUGUUGCAAGUCCUCUUGUGAAGCAAAUAUCUCUCCUCCCAUAAAUAUCAAUGUUCAUAUUUAGGCUUUCAAAGUAUGGAAGCCCCUGUCUGUUCAAGGGUGUGUGUGUGUGUCCAUGCGUGUGUGUGUGUGUGUGUGUGUAUGUGCACGCAUGUGUGUGUGUGCAUUUGCAUUCAUUCUGGCACAUAAAAGGAUCCAUGAAUAAAAACGUUUUUUCUCUCCUAGGCUUUGUUGUGAUAUGUUGCUGGAAAAAAGACACACUGUUCAAGCAAAGGGCAGACCCUGAGCAGCUCAGGUCUCUGUGUGCUUCCCAUUCUUCCUGACUGCUGCUGGAAGUCAGCAGCUGA